rnacentral:RNase_P_RNA from 1 species
AAGGCUGGUCGGGCGGUCGCGGCUUCGCGAGUUCGGAGCCGAGGAAAGUCCGCACUCCAUAGAGCACGGCGUCGGAUAAUACCCGGGGCGGGGCGAUCCCCCACAUUGGGGGGCCAACCUGCCGGACAGGGCCACAGAAAACAGGUAGCCCCCGCAAGGGGGUGAUAGUGAAAAGGUGGUGUAAGAGACCACCGGUGCCCGUAGUAAUACGGGCGGCCUGGUAACCCCCGCCGGGAGCAAGGCCAAGCAGGGACGAAGUGGUCUGCGGACCAUCGGGAAAUGUGCUCGUUUCCCCAUGUGCCUCCUGUUCAGGAGGCCAGUCCCGGGUAGGCUGCUGGAGCGGCAUGGCGACAUGUCGCCAAGAGAGAUGACCGCCCAGGCACGGAGGCAGUCUCUCCGUCGCUGGACAGAAUGCGGCUUACAGACCAGCCUGGGGC